rnacentral:rRNA from 2 species
CGUAUCACCCAAGACAACUUUACGGAGUUGACGAUUGACGGAGCGAAGCGACGUCAAAGCGUUCAUUAAAGUCGAGUUGGCUUAGGGAUACGUUCGUUGGGUAGGGGAGCGUUCUGUAAGCCUGUGAAGGUGUGUCGUGAGGCAUGCUGGAGGUAUCAGAAGUGCGAAUGCUGACAUAAGUAACGAUAAAGCGGGUGAAAAGCCCGCUCGCCGGAAGACCAAGGGUUCCUGUCCAACGUUAAUCGGGGCAGGGUGAGUCGACCCCUAAGGCGAGGCCGAAAGGCGUAGUCGAUGGGAAACGGGUUAAUAUUCCCGUACUUGGUGUUACUGCGAAGGGGGGACGGAGAAGGCUAUGUUGGCCGGGCGACGGUUGUCCCGGUUUAAGCGUGUAGGUGUGUGUUCCAGGUAAAUCCGGUUCACUUUAACACUGAGGCGUGACGACGAGGCACUACGGUGCUGAAGCAACAAAUGCCCUGCUUCCAGGAAAAGCCUCUAAGCAUCAGGUAACAUCAAAUCGUACCCCAAACCGACACAGGUGGUCAGGUAGAGAAUACCAAGGCGCUUGAGAGAACUCGGGUGAAGGAACUAGGCAAAAUGGUGCCGUAACUUCGGGAGAAGGCACGCUGACACGUAGGUGAAGUGAUUUACUCAUGGAGCUGAAGUCAGUCGAAGAUACCAGCUGGCUGCAACUGUUUAUUAAAAACACAGCACUGUGCAAACACGAAAGUGGACGUAUACGGUGUGACGCCUGCCCGGUGCCGGAAGGUUAAUUGAUGGGGUCAGCGCAAGCGAAGCUCCUGAUCGAAGCCCCGGUAAACGGCGGCCGUAACUAUAACGGUCCUAAGGUAGCGAAAUUCCUUGUCGGGUAAGUUCCGACCUGCACGAAUGGCGUAAUGAUGGCCAGGCUGUCUCCACCCGAGACUCAGUGAAAUUGAACUCGCUGUGAAGAUGCAGUGUACCCGCGGCAAGACGGAAAGACCCCGUGAACCUUUACUAUAGCUUGACACUGAACAUUGAGCCUUGAUGUGUAGGAUAGGUGGGAGGCUUUGAAGUGUGGACGCCAGUCUGCAUGGAGCCGACCUUGAAAUACCACCCUUUAAUGUUUGAUGUUCUAACGUGGACCCGUAAUCCGGGUUGCGGACAGUGUCUGGUGGGUAGUUUGACUGGGGCGGUCUCCUCCUAAAGAGUAACGGAGGAGCACGAAGGUUGGCUAAUCCUGGUCGGACAUCAGGAGGUUAGUGCAAUGGCAUAAGCCAGCUUGACUGCGAGCGUGACGGCGCGAGCAGGUGCGAAAGCAGGUCAUAGUGAUCCGGUGGUUCUGAAUGGAAGGGCCAUCGCUCAACGGAUAAAAGGUACUCCGGGGAUAACAGGCUGAUACCGCCCAAGAGUUCAUAUCGACGGCGGUGUUUGGCACCUCGAUGUCGGCUCAUCACAUCCUGGGGCUGAAGUAGGUCCCAAGGGUAUGGCUGUUCGCCAUUUAAAGUGGUACGCGAGCUGGGUUUAGAACGUCGUGAGACAGU